GACGUAGGGAGCGAGCGUUGUCCGGAUUCAUUGGGCGUAAAGGGUCCGUAGGCGGCUCAGCAAGUCGGGUGUGAAAUCUCCAGGCUCAACCUGGAGGGGCCACUCGAUACUGCUGUGGCUUGAGUCCAGUAGGGGAGCAUGGAAUUCCCGGUGUAGCGGUGAAAUGCGCAGAUAUCGGGAGGAACACCGGUGGCGAAGGCGGUUCUCUGGGCCGUGUACUGACGCUGAGGAGCGAAAGCGUGGGGAGCGAACAGG
rnacentral:rRNA from 1 species